rfam:Daphnia pulex DAPPTscaffold_38_Cont2199, whole genome shotgun sequence.
GAUUGUUUAACCUAAUUAAGGUUCUUGUUUUGAAAGUAAGUCAUAAAAGUUCAAAUCUUUUAGCACUCU